GCAAGUCGAACGGUAACAGAGGAAGCUUGCUUCCUGCUGACGAGUGGCGCACGGGUGAGUAAUAUAUAGUUAAUGUGCCUCGAAGACUGGGAUAGCCACUGGAAACGGUGAUUAAUACUAGAUAGUCCUGCUAAACAUAAGUUUAGUUGGUAAACGUUUUUUCGCUUCGAGAUCAGACUAUAUCCCAUCAGCUUGUUGGUAGUGUAAGAGACUACCAAGGCUAUGACGGGUAGCGGGUUUGAGAGGAUGAUC
rnacentral:rRNA from 1 species